rnacentral:rRNA from 1 species
CAGCCGCCACGGUAAUACGUAGGGUGCAAGCGUUAAUCGGAAUUACUGGGCGUAAAGCGUGCGCAGGCGGUUUGUUAAGACAGAUGUGAAAUCCCCGGGCUCAACCUGGGAACUGCAUUUGUGACUGGCAAGCUAGAGUAUGGCAGAGGGGGGUGGAAUUCCGCGUGUAGCAGUGAAAUGCGUAGAUAUGCGGAGGAACACCGAUGGCGAAGGCAGCCCCCUGGGCCAAUACUGACGCUCAUGCACGAAAGCGUGGGGAGCAAACAGGAUUAGAUACCCGAGUAGUCCCUGUCUCUUAUAC